AGGUAAAAUAUACGUUCUAUAAAAUCAAUAAAACAUAAUUCAUCCGUAAGACUUACACAACAUGGUGAGAACGAAACAUAUAGCAUGAGAAAUUAUAUUUUUUAUAUAAAUGAGGACUUCCACUGUGAUUCCAACUAUCAAUGGUAGAAUAUUUAGCAUUGUGAUUCCAACUAUAGGAGAAGUAAGUCCAAAACUGAAGUAAUUAUAAGCAAGCCACUAUAUAAAGACAAUUAGUGCACAUCAUAACAAAAGCACUAUUGCAACUGAAAAUAUUCAUGUGUUGAUAAACUUUGGCGUAGAAACAAAAAUCAGCAAAUAUCUUACGAAGAAAGAAACAGAACCUCGGACGGGAGCCAACGACAACAGACUCGAACUCGCCAGAACUCAAGCUGGACCUCACCGUCGACCUCACCGAUCUUUAGAACCCACCCGGAUCUGAAAAUUGGAGCUUCAUGACUGAAAUUUCAAGCAAAAUUACACGAGAAGGAUCAACCAACUGCUGUGACCGAAAUAGGAAAUGGGCGGAACUCGAGCGAACCAAAUCCGGACGAUGAACAGCAAAGGACUCAAACAAAACCAAACGAGACCUUGAGCGGAUGGCAGCUCUUAGUCAGGCUCGAACCAAUGAAAGCACACACGUGCUCCAUGAUGAGAUAGAAAUCGAAACCGGCAUGAAGACGAUUGAAACUUAUAUCAUUUCUGAUUUUCUCGAAUUUGAGGCAGAGAUGAAGCGAAUCGUUGUCAAACUUAAGGUUUUCUGGCGGGUUUAGAUGGAAAGGGGUUGGGAUGCGUCAGUUUUGGCUAUCAAAUGAGGAAUUUCAUGGAGGAAUGGAGAUUGCUGCGGUGGUGUUGCUGAUGGUGUGUUUUUUGUCAAUUUUUGUCUCCUCUUUUUUUGUCUCCCUUUUUUCAAUGAAUAGAGCAGAGUGUGGAAUCGGAUGUUAUGUGGGAGAGUUUUAUUUGGGGAGAAGGUGUUAUGUGAGAUAGUAUUUUGGGGAAGGUUUUAGGUGUGAAAAUAUUUUGGGGGAAAGUCUUAGGUGGGAAGAAAUGAUUUGGAGAGAAAAUAUUUUGGUGAAGGUUCUUCCUAUUAUUUUACUCCCAAUUUCUUUUUUAUCUUCCUCUCUUUUGUAUUUUAUUUACUUAUUUUUGUAUUUUAUUUUCUGAUUUUGUUAAAUGCUAAAUUAAAACUCAAGGCCAAAUUAACAUUAAAAAUUAAAUUUUCUAAUUAAUUCCUAAAUUAAAAUGCAAACUAAUACCAAAAAAAUAUAAAAAGUGCCAUUUUUGUUAUUUUCUUCCUAUUUUGUUUUAAAAUAAAUUAACCCCUAAUUAAUCCUAAAAUAUGAAAUUAGAUCCUAAAUACAAAUGCAUAUUUUUGUAUUCUAUUAUUGUGAUUUUAAAAUAUUAAAAUGUAUGAAAUGAGACUACAAAAGAAAAAAUUUCUAAAAGAUCAAUAAAAAUUAUUUUGACUUAUUAUAGAAGCUAUUUUCAUGUAGGGCUAUCACGUGCUUACAGAAAUGGUCAAAAUCCAAUUUUUAGAACAACUCUCUGCCUCCAGCCUUUUUUGCACCUGCAAAACUAUUUCCGCUUUCGCGUUCCCGCUUUUGCGUACAAAACUCUGCUUCUGCGGACAAGGGGCUCCAGCCUAAUUUCGCUUCUACGGUCAGCCAACCGCUUCUGCGGCUCCGCAUCGGCAGAUCUAGGGCCGCUUCUGCGGUCCUGGCUACCCUCACACUCAACCGCUUUUGCGGCUUCCUCCUUGCUUGUGCGGGGCCGCAUCUGCGGUCCCAUCUUCGCAGAUGCGGAAAUACCAGCAACCAGCAACUCCUUUUUUUCCAAAAAUUCAUUUUCGAUUUGUUAACCACCCGGAAUCCCCCCGAGGCACCCUAGGACCCCAGCCAAUCAUACCAACAAGUCCCAAAACACGCUACGGGCUUGCUAUAGGCCUCAAAUAGCAUCAAACAAUGCUAAAACCAUGAAUUACACUCCGAUUCAAGCUUUAUGAACUUUGAACUUUCCAACUUCUACUUCCGAUGUUUAAACAUAUCAAAUCAUGUUCGAUUGGCCUCAAAUUUUGCACAAGUCAUAUUUGACAUUACGGACCUACUCCAACUUCCGGAAUUGGAUUCCGAUCACGAUAUCGAAAAGUCUACUCUCGGUCAAACUUCUCAAAAACCUUCAAAUUUCUAUCUUUAGUCAAAUGACUCUAAAAUGAAAUGCGGACAUCCGAAUUCAAUUGCGGUUGCACUUCCAACUCCAGAAUUACCAUAAGGAGCUACUCCCAGUCUCGGAAUCCCAAACGGACAUCGAUAACACUGAAAUCCCCAGGUUAUCCAAAACCCGAACCGGGCACACGCCCUAGUCCGAAAUCAUCAUACAAACCUGCUGGAACCUUCAGAUCCCGAUUCUGAGGUCACUUACUAAUUAAUCCAAUCCUAGUUCAUUCUUUCAACUUCAAGUCUUUCUAAAUCAACUCCGAAUUUUCCGAAUUCAAUUCCAAUCAUACGUACAAGUGCACCUGCCUAUUUUUCAUGUAAGACUCUUUGCAUUUCUCACUAAACAACUCAGUAAGAUACCCUUGUUUCAACAAGUGAUCAACUUCACUUUGUAAAAAUCAGCAAUCAGAGGUUUUAUGAUCGUGGUCAUGAUGAAACUCACACCAAUGAUCAGGGUUACACGAAUUUGGAUUUGACCUCAUCUCUUUUCGCCAUCGGACCUUAUAUCCCAUGCUUCUCAAAUCAGCUACGAGCUCAUAGGUGCUAGCGUUGAAAUUAUAACCAACGAAUCUUGCCUUUAAACUUCUAUGAUUUUCCCGUGACUUACGAUUAUGUCGCUCGUUCCUAAAUCUUGGUGAGGAACCUGAUUCAUUGUUUCUAUAUUUAUGAUCGUACCUUUGAUUAUCUGGCCUUGACCGUGAGUAUUUACCCGCAAUUCCUAUGUAAGGCUCGUAUCUAUUUUUACCGAACCUCUUUUCAUUUUUUGUACGUCUCGAGCUUACCUUCUCCUCUCUUUGGAAUCGUGGAACAGUGUCCUCUUCAUUACCUAUUAUAAACAUCAUUCCAUGUUGUAGCAUGAAAUUCUCAAAGGCUCUCCUUGAGUCUCCUCGUGGCCUUCGAGAUUUUGUCAUUCAAAUUACUUGUGAAAGCUAUAGCUGCCCAGUUGUCAGGUACUCGCGGUAAAGUCAUUCUUUCACGUUAAAAUCUAUUCCAUGAAAUCUCGAAGUAGCUCUGCAUAUCCUUGCUUGAUUUUGAAGAUAUCUUCCAUUCUUUUUUCUACUUUUUGAGAUCCCGAGUGUGCUUUAAGGCACCAUUGGUGAGCGUUUCUCCAAAUUUCUUGACUAGUACUGAUUCAAUCUCCUGCUUGGUCAAAUCAUUACCUUUUACGCCAGUUGUUAAUGCAAUCCCAUGAUCCCGUGGGUCUUUUCUUCUAUCAUACUUUGGGACAUCAGGAAUUUUAAACUUAUUUGGAAUUGGAAGGAGAGCAGCACUUGUCCUCCAAGGUUGUUGUGAAUAUUUAUCCAUAUAUACCUCUUUGAUUACAGGCGGAACUCCGGGUAUUUGCUCUAUGCGGUCAUUUUGCUCCUUGAGUUGUUUCUGCAAGGUUAUUGUUUCUGCAAGGUUAAAAUUAAAUUUUGCAAAUGCGAAUUAACUGAAUUACCUGGUUCUCCUACUUGAGAUUCGCUGGGAGCUCCUCAAUUUCCUAAAUUUAUAAGCUCAGAACGAGGGUUCUCCAAUGUGUUAUUAUUGGGCGUAGUGUGGGUGGUGCAGCAAGUAGCUGACUGACUAGAGCCUGAACAACUUUAUUGCCUUGUGCAGCAAUUACCUUUGGUAAAGCUUAAUCUACCCCUUCAAAAUUUUCAAAUUGAUCCUGUCCAUCUGGAUGAUAUUCCGGAGUGCCUUCACGGGAGUGCCAUAGUGAACCACGUGGAGAAGGGACCAGGUUAAUGUUUUGUAGAUUUCCCUGAACUUGUUGAUUUACCUGAUUUCCUGGAGUGUUAUCAUUGUUGUUUGCCAUAAUUGAUGAAAAUAGAUUAUCAGAUUUCCGUUAACGGAAUCAAUUUGUUUAACCAAAAAAUAGAUUUUGAGUCAAAACUAGAAUUUUAGAAGAACAUGAGUUACUGAUAAUUAAAAGAGAAUAUAAAGAAAGACUUUUGAGAACAAUGUGAUUAGAAAGCAAGUAAAUCAAAGUAUCUUCCAAUAAUAUUUUGUGUCCUACAAUUCUUUGUUCUUUCUCCUUUUAUAGCUUUGUUGGGACUAUGAGCCUUGCCUAAGCUAUAAUGAGAUAAUAAUGAGCAAUAAAUGACUUUUAAUAAUAUGUUAUACAAUCAUAUACAUUAAAUACAUAUUCCAUAAUGCCUUCUACAUUUAAUACUCGUCAAAUGCUAUGUUUGGACUCACAUAUGCGGUCAGAUUCAUUCUCUUGAUUCUUUGUGACCCCUGAGCUUUAAAUGACUUAAACAUGUACGAGUGUGGAGUCACUUUCUUAUCUGUCGCAUUUCUUAGCUAAUCAUAACCCUUUGACCAUUUGACCAAUCCUUGUGUCAUGACAUGUCAGCUUCAAUAUUAAAACUCGAUUUUUCUGAAUACAAUGAGAUUUUGUGAAUUGGACAAGUGAAUCAAGCUUCUUUCUAUGAUUUCAUGUAUUCGAAUAGGCCUAAAGUCAAUUUCCAAUUGAAGAAAUGAUCUCGUUAAGUUCAAAAUGACACAUGUAGCCUACUUGGUAUGAAGAUUGAUCGUGCGAGCACGUUAUUGCGUCUUUAGUUACAUUUUGUUAGCUAAAUGAUUGAUGUAAAUGAAAGCCAACUUCUAUACAUGUUUUCUACUUAAGGUGUUUUCAUUCAUGUAUACGAUGAAAUGUAUAACCGACUUUAAAGAUGUUUUAGGGUAUACAUACGCGGGGCAAGCAUAAGUAUGCCAAGCAUGUCUAUAAGUGUAAUUUUGAGUCUUGAAUGUUAUGAGUAUCAUGUGGAGUUUUUCAAAACCUAAAUAAUUUGAUUCUUGUAUUAUAUAAAAUAUGUAGAUCUUAAAUAAUUUGUGAAGUUAUAUUUGUGUUCUAAAAUUUAUGAGUAUAACACAUUUUGAAGUUUAUAAGUUUACAAAUGAUAUGAGAUAAUUCACAUAUCAGUAAUUAUGUUUCUCAAAGCUAUAAAAUAUGAUAUGUUUAGCUAGAAGCCAUGGCUUGUGAGAGAAUGAAAAACGAAUGUUGCCUAAGAUCAAGCUAUCGAGAAGGUUUGGCAGUCUCCAUUUUUUGAAUCAUUAAAGAGAUAGAAAAUGAUUUAUCUAUAUUUUAUACUAAUUAAAUGAGAGAAAUAAUUUGAGCCUAGCUCAUAUUAAUUAUUCAUGCUGUCAUGACUCAAAAUUCACUGAGGGUCGUGGUGGCGCCUGACACUGCCGCCAGGCAAUCCAACAAAAAAUACUUAAUUAACUUUAAAUUUUAGUUCUUGUUGAAAUCGUUAUUCUUUAUACAUUUAAAUACAGUAAAUAAUGAGAUUUAUAGGAUUAACCAUGGAGUCUUUAACGAACUUAAUAUUGAAUAAUCCAAAAUUAUCCCAGAACCCGGUUCCGCAAGUGCAUGAACUAUUCUAUAAAGCAAUACAAUACAACAACUGUCCGGAAUACAAUAUUGGACAGGAAAUAAAUAUAGAUAACUGAAAGAGACUUUGCUGGCUGCGGGUCGCCUCGAGAACUGCAGCUCACCUAAGUCUCCGUAUCAACCAUGCUGCUACGCCCAGUAGGCCACUAGACAUGCAGGUUCCUGUGCAACAAAAAUGCACAGCAAGUGUAGCAUGAGUACAAAAACAACGUAUACUCAGCAAGUAUCCCGUCUAAUCACAAAGAAAUAGAGACGAGAGAUCGACUUCGACACUUGUUAACAGUCCAACAAUAAUAAAUAAAAAUGUGAGGAAAUCAUGAAUUUAUAUAGCAGCUAUAACUCACAAAGUCGGAAAACAAGUAAACACCUUUAACAAAUAAUAAAGGAUUUCCAAGAUUUACUUUUCAUUAUCUUUGUAAUUAUAUAUAGAGGGCCAUGAAAGGCAACAUCAACAUUUAAAACUCUCAGGCAAGCAAUAUAAGCAUGUGCAUAUUAUGUCGAGGUUGUACGACCCGCUCAAAUAGAAAUAUAAAUUGUGCACUACCGAGGGUCGAACGACUCGAAUCAUAGAUGCAUCUAUUACCAUGCUCGCGAACUAUCCUCCGACGCAGUCAACAUAAAAUAAACAAAUACCCUACUCGUGAAUCAUACAUGUGAUGCAGGUAAAUAGAUGUACAUGCUCAAACAGCUAAUUAAGGAUUUAUCGGGGAACAUGUAUCCACAUAAAAGCCAAUCCUCUUUUAAAAAUUUAAGAAAAUGAAGUUUAAUCCUCUUAGAGAUUUAUUUACUAAUUCAAUGUGAUUUAAGCAAUUCAAAAUGUCAAUAAGUUUACGAUUAAUCCAAGUAUAGCAUGCUUUUGGAUCCUAGACUAUCCGUAUAAUAGCAUAAUAGUAGCUACGCACGGACUCUCUUCACCUCGUACGUAUGUAGCCCCCACAAAUAGGAUAACAUAACCAAUUAAUUCACCUAUGGAGACAAUUCCCUCUUACAAGGUUAGAAAGAAGACUCACCUCGCUCGAAGAUCCAUAAUCGGCAUUCCACGCUCCUCCGAAAAUUAAAUCGACGCAUAAUGCUCCAACACUAGCCAAUAAUUAUAAAAAUCCAUUAAUAUAUGCUCAAUUACUCAUUACAAUACAAUUUAUAGCAAUUCCCAACUCGAUCGAAAAGUUAACAAAAUUGCCCUCAUGCCUAUGUGCCAGGAUUUAAAAUUAUUUGAAGAUAAAGUUAAUCCAUGAACUCACGAACUCAAAUAUAUGAUUUUCUCUUAAUUUCAUACCCAAAAUCGUGAUUAACUUCCAAGAAUAUAAACUCUAGGUCUUUCUACCAAAACUCCCAAAUUUCUACCAAUUUACAUGCUAAAAUCCAUACAUAAUCAACGUAUUUAACUCAAGAAGGAUGAGAUUAGCUUACCUUAUCGUUGAUAAUGAAAAUCCCACUUGAAUCUCUCCCAAAAAUCGCACAAGCCAAGAAAAUAUGAGAGAAAAUGGCCAAAUCCCGGUUUUUAAAACAUCUAUUUGCCUCCGGCACUUUCUGCACCUGCGGUCACAAUAGCGCUUUUGCGGUUUCGUAGGUGCGAGCCAAUCUACCGCUUAUGCGGUUUUUCCCCAGGCUCCCCUUUUCCGCUUCUGCGCUUCUAGUCCAUCAGGUCCAGUUUCACUUCUACAGCCAAACGACCGCAUCUGCGGUUCCAGCUCUCUUUUGCCAAAUCUGCAUCUGUGACUAUUGGGCUGCUUCUGCGGCUCCGCACCGGCCAAAACAUCGCAGGUGCGGUUACACCAGAUACCAGCUGCUUCAGCCAUUCUUUAAAUUCAAAAUUUGAUUCGUUAACCAUCCAAAAUCUACCCUAGGCCACCGGAACCCAACUAAUCAUACCAACCAGUCCUAAAAUACAUUACGGACUCGCUCGAGACCUCAAAUCAUAUCAAACAAUGCAAAAUUACACGAGAAGGAUCAACCAACUGCUGUGACCGAAAUAGGAAAUGGGCGGAACUCGAGCGAACCAAAUCCGGACGAUGAACAGCAAAGGACUCAAACAAAACCAAACGAGACCUUGAGCGGAUGGCAGCUCUUAGUCAGGCUCGAACCAAUGAAAGCACACACGUGCUCCAUGAUGAGAUAGAAAUCGAAACCGGCAUGAAGACGAUUGAAACUUAUAUCAUUUCUGAUUUUCUCGAAUUUGAGGCAGAGAUGAAGCGAAUCGUUGUCAAACUUAAGGUUUUCUGGCGGGUUUAGAUGGAAAGGGGUUGGGAUGCGUCAGUUUUGGCUAUCAAAUGAGGAAUUUCAUGGAGGAAUGGAGAUUGCUGCGGUGGUGUUGCUGAUGGUGUGUUUUUUGUCAAUUUUUGUCUCCUCUUUUUUUGUCUCCCUUUUUUCAAUGAAUAGAGCAGAGUGUGG
rnacentral:lncRNA from 1 species